UAAUUAAUUGUAAAUUACUUUAAUACCCUUAAUGAAAUUAAAACCAAAAAAAUAUUACAAAUACUAUUUUUCUUUCUUAAAUACCAAAUAAUCAAAAACUCAAAAAAACCAUUUCCCUCCUUACUCACAAACCCCUCACCUCCUCCACCUCCUUCUUCUCCCUCCCCAAAAACCCUUCUAAAAAAUCUUCCUCACAACAAACCCUUC
rnacentral:lncRNA from 1 species